rnacentral:rRNA from 1 species
CGGACGGGUGAGUAACGCGUGAGAAUCUGGCUCCAGGAUGGGGAUAACAGUUGGAAACGACUGCCAAUACCCGAUGUGCCAAUAGGUGAAAGAUUUAUCGCCUGGGGAUGAGCUCGCGUCUGAUUAGCUAGUUGGUGGGGUAAGAGCCUACCAAGGCGACGAUCAGUAGCUGGUUUGAGAGGAUGAUCAGCCACACUGGGACUGAGACACGGCCCAGACUCCUACGGGAGGCAGCAGUGGGGAAUUUUCCGCAAUGGGCGCAAGCCUGACGGAGCAACGCCGCGUGGGGGAAGAAGGUUUGUGGAUUGUAAACCCCUUUUCUCAGGGAAGAAGCACUGACGGUACCUGAGGAAUAAGCAUCGGCUAGCUCCGUGCCAGCAGCCGCGGUAAUACGGAGGAUGCAAGCGUUAUCCGGAAUCAUUGGGCGUAAAGCGUCCGCAGGUGGCUGAACAAGUCUGCUGUUAAAGCCCAGAGCUCAACUCUGGAUCAGCAGUGGAAACUGUUUAGCUAGAGUGCGAUAGGGGUCAGGGAAUUCCCAGUGUAGCGGUGAAAUGCGUAGAGAUUGGGAAGAACACCAGUGGCGAAAGCGCGUGACUGGAUCGCAACUGACACUCAUGGACGAAAGCUAGGGGAGCGAAAGGGAUUAGAUACCCCAGUAGUC